rnacentral:rRNA from 1 species
GACAGAGGGGGCAAGCGUUGCUCGGAAUACUGGGCGUAAAGGGUGCGUAGGCGGGUCUUUAAGUCAGAGGUGAAAUCCUGGAGCUCAACUCCAGAACUGCCUUUGAUACUGAGGAUCUUGAGUUCGGGAGAGGUGAGUGGAACUGCGAGUGUAGAGGUGAAAUUCGUAGAUAUUCGCAAGAACACCAGUGGCGAAGGCGGACUCACUGGCCCGAUACUGACGCUGAGGCACGAAAGCGUGGGGA